UACGUAAGGCGCAAGCGUUGUCCGGAAUUAUUGGGCGUAAAGAGCUCGUAGGCGGUUUGUCGCGUCUGCUGUGAAAACUCGAGGCUCAACCUCUGGCCUGCAUCCGAUACUGCCCGACUAGAGGUAGGUAGGGGAGAUCGGAAUUCCUGGUGUAGCGGUGAAAUGCGCAGAUAUCAGGAGGAACACCGGUGGCGAAGGCGGAUCUCUGGGCCUUACCUGACGCUGAGGCGCGAAAGCUAGGGGAGCAAACAGG
rnacentral:rRNA from 1 species